CCUACGGGGGGCAGCAGUGAGGAAUAUUGGACAAUGGGCGCAAGCCUGAUCCAGCCAUGCCGCGUGCAGGAUGACGGUCCUAUGGAUUGUAAACUGCUUUUGCACAGGAAGAAACACCCCCUCGUGAGGGGGCUUGACGGUACUGUGAGAAUAAGGAUCGGCUAACUCCGUGCCAGCAGCCGCGGUAAUACGGAGGAUCCAAGCGUUAUCCGGAAUCAUUGGGUUUAAAGGGUCCGUAGGCGGUUUAGUAAGUCAGUGGUGAAAGCCCAUCGCUCAACGGUGGAACGGCCAUUGAUACUGCUAGACUUGAAUUAUUAGGAAGUAACUAGAAUAUGUAGUGUAGCGGUGAAAUGCUUAGAGAUUACAUGGAAUACCAAUUGCGAAGGCAGGUUACUACUAAUGGAUUGACGCUGAUGGACGAAAGCGUGGGUAGCGAACAGGAUUAGAUACCCGGGUAGUC
rnacentral:rRNA from 1 species